rnacentral:rRNA from 1 species
GACGAACGCUGGCGGCGUGCCUAAUACAUGCAAGUCGAGCGCAGGAAACUGACGGAACUCUUCGGAGGGAAGGCAGUGGAAUGAGCGGCGGACGGGUGAGUAACACGUAAGGAACCUGCCUCAAGGAUUGGGAUAACUCCGAGAAAUCGGAGUUAAUACCGGAUAGUUCAACGGACCGCAUGGUCCGCUGAUGAAAGGCGCUCCGGCGUCACCUUGAGAUGGCCUUGCGGUGCAUUAGCUAGUUGGUGGGGUAACGGCCCACCAAGGCGACGAUGCAGAGCCGACCUGAGCGGGUGAUCGGCCACACUGGGACUGAGACACGGACCAGACUCCUACGGGAGGCAGCAGUAGGGAAUCUUCCACAAUGGACGAAAGUCUGAUGGAGCAACGCCGCGUGAGUGAUGAAGGUUUUCGGAUCGUAAAACUCUGUUGUAAGGGAAGAACACGUACGAGAGGAAAUGCUCGUACCUUGACGGUACCUUACGAGAAAGCCACGGCUAACUACGUGCCAGCCGCCGCAGUAA